GAAGAAGGAUUAGAUACAUUUUUACCUUAUUUCUAACAAAUUGUGGCCGUGAUUCCGGUGGGCUUGAUGAAGAUCGUCCACAAUCAAAAAAGAAAAAAAUAGAGGGAGAAGGAAUUCAGAUCCACUCCAAUUUCCGUCAGAGAAGAAGACUCUUCCCUUUCCUUUUUUGCGGUGCUUUAAAAAUCAUGUGCAAUUUUUGUUGGGCUGUUUCUCCUUGGUGGCUAGGUUGAUAUAUAUUGAGUAUCACAAGGCCAACGAUUUGAUCCCAGAGGCAGGAGGGCAGGCUACCUGUACAGGCGAAGCAGUUCUUGAAAUCCAGGUCAAUGCUUUAGACAGAAAUAUUGGAAUCUAAACAUUGCAUAUAACCUGCUAGCUUAUUCUUUUCUAUCGAACUUGAAAGCUGAAGUCUGCAAACCAGUAUCUAUACUGUACAAUGAUUUUAUUGCUCCAAUUAGUGUUCCAAAAGAUUCGAUACUGUAACACAAGUUAACAUAAAAAGCCUUGCUUUGUCUUUUUAGCGAUUUUG